rnacentral:rRNA from 1 species
AGGACAAACGCUGGCGGAAUGUAUUAGGCAUGCAAGUCGCACGAACCUUCGGGUUAGUGGCGGACGGGUGAGUAACACGUGGGUAACCUGCCUCGUAGUGGGGAAUAACUCGUCGAAAGGCGAGCUAAUACCGCAUAACACCCCCGGUGAGAUUCCGGGUGGUAAAAGCUCUGGCGCUACGAGAGGGGCCCGCGGCCGAUUAGCUUGUUGGUGGGGUAAUAGCCUACCAAGGCGACGAUCGGUAGCUGGUCUGAGAGGAUGGUCAGCCACACGGGGACUGAGAUACGGCCCCGACUCCUACGGGAGGCAGCAGCUAAGAAUCUUGCGCAAUGGGCGAAAGCCUGACGCAGCAAUUCCGCGUGGGGGACAAGGCCCCUCGGGUCGUAAACCCCCUUUUGUGAAGGAAGAAGUUCUGACGGUACUUCACGAAUAAGACACGGCUAACUACGUGCCAGCAGCCGC